rnacentral:tRNA from 1 species
AAGAGAUUAAUGUUAAGAAAUAGCUGCUAACUAAUUUCUGAAGCGGUUAAAAUCCGUUUGUCUCUUA